GACGAACGCUGGCGGCGUGCUUAACACAUGCAUGUCGAACGGAGAAUUUUACUUCGGUGAAAUUCUUAGUGGCGAACGGGUGAGUAACGAGUAGACAACCUGCCUCUUAGAUGGGGACAACAUCGCGAAAGCGGUGCUAAUACCGAAUGAAGUGGAGCUUCCGCAUGGAAGCAUCACCAAAGGUGGCCUCUAUUUAUAAGCUACCACUGAGAGAUGGGUCUGCGUCUGAUUAGCUAGUUGGCGGGGUAAUGGCCCACCAAGGCGACGAUCAGUAGCCGGUCUGAGAGGAUGAACGGCCACAUUGGGACUGAGACACGGCCCAAACUCCUACGGGAGGCAGCAGUGGGGAAUCUUCCGUAAUGGACGAAAGUCUGACGGAGCAACGCCGCGUGAGUGAAGAAGGUUUUCGGAUCGUAAAGCUCUGUUGUUUGAGACGAAUGUGCAGACUUUGAAUAAGGGUUUGUAAUGACGGUAUUAAACGAGAAAGCCACGGCUAACUACGUGCCAGCCGCCGCAGUAAAAC
rnacentral:rRNA from 1 species